rnacentral:lncRNA from 1 species
UGGGGACCUUGGUGCUCUGCCAAGGGUCCCUUUUAGUGGCUUCUGAGAAAUCUCAGAAGGGGUUUUGUGUUGUAGAUGAAGAAUUACAGAUCUGGCUAAAACUCCUACUUAGCUGAGGGCUUGAAAAACAGAAAGAUACAGUGAUUUUCCCAAAGCUGCACAGCAGAUAGAGCUGAGAAUCUGCCAGUUUUCUAGUGUUCCUAGUGCUUUGUGUAUCACAUGAUCGUAUCACAUUACUGACACUGGCGCUUGCUGAGGAUCAGCUGGGGAGAGAUAACGCUGGUGUCUGUAAGCCACAAAGCACUCACACCUCUUGGCUGGUGAUCCACUGGCCAAAGUUGGAAUUCACUUGCCAACACCAGGGCAUACGCAAGAGGAACUGGCCACUGCUGACCAGUGAACCUGCCACCGAAUCUUGAUGAAAGGUUCCCACUACAUUUGCAGAACAGAUGCUGAGACCAAGGGAUCAUAUUUUACUGUAAUGGAAGCCGUCCGAAUGUAUGCCUCACCCAUCUGUCUUCUCUCAAGUGUAACAAAAGGAUAUCAAAGUAGUCACAUCACUUCCAAAGCCUUCCUCUGAAGUCCCUCCUGCCUUCAGAAGAUUGGGGAUGUCAGAGUGAGAGCUAUAAGCACUCCAGAAGAAUUGUGUCCCAAAGCACGUCUUCCUGAGGGUCAGAACAUCACAGGCCCUGGCUGGAACAGACCCUAGAGUUGGCUGAUCAGUGCGGUCAUCUUAUAACCAGAAAGCAGCCUCGGGAAGGUUGGCAGCCAUCAAGACCACAAGCUACUCAGUGGUGUAGCCGGGAUUAGAACCCAGAUCUUUUGGUACCUCUGCCAGGAAGUUUUCCCUAUCCUGGAAUUAUCGGCUUUUCUCAGAAAGGAAGAGGUCAGUCCUCUUCAUCAUGAAAACCACAGUGGAAAGACAAGAAGGAAAUAAGCCAAAAUGUGAAUACUGUUCUGUUUGACAUAGAGAUGACAUUUCGGUCCUAAUUCUAUUUUUCUGCAUUGGCCAAAAUGUCUACAAAGGGCAUAUACUGCUUUUAUGCCAGAAAAAAAAAUUACUUUAAAAAUGAGGGGAUAAAAAAAAGCAGAAGGUGAAGUACAUACCCUAGAAAGCAUCAUCUAUGUGGCUCCUAGUCAUUGAUCCAAAUAAGCAGAACUAAUAAAAUGCCAUGACAUUUCCCUGUGCCAGGGGAGACAUCAGGCUGUGAGCAAGGAUGACUCAUGGAGGCAGUGGGGAGACCUCCCUACUGGCUGCCCGUGGGACGUCAGCUCUCUUUCAUAGGCUUCACUUUGCUGUGCCUUCACCCACAGACUGGCAAGGAGCAGAGGCCUGCUUCGUUACCUCUGGUGAUUUCCUC